rnacentral:lncRNA from 1 species
GACCACCCUUACUUGUUUUACUAGCGAAGUAAAUCGCUGUGAUUAGCAUUCCAAGAAGUAGGAAUCCUGGCUUUCAAUAUCCCCAUCCGUCCAUCUCUUAGUUAGAAAGAAUAACGAUGUCGGGUCUUCGUCUUCGAGCUGUUCAGUAAGCAAGCAGAAAGGAAAGAUAUUCGGUCAGAAGCAGGUUGUUAUUAGAAAGCUAGAAAGAUAGGGUUCCUGCAGUGAACAGUAAGAUCAAGGACAUAAGCAGGAAAGG